AUGCUUAUUGGAGGGGAUUUCAAUAUCCUUUGGUACCAGGAAGAAAAAAAUAAUGACCGCUUCGACACUCACUGGCCUUUCCUAUUCAAUGCUGUGAUUGAUAGUUUGGACCUUUGGGAGGCUUGUAUGUCGGGGCGGCAGUUCACUUGGGCUAAUAAACGUUCUGUGCCAACGUACGAGAAGCUCGAUAGGGUACUCAUGGAUACCGAAUGGGAGCUAAAAUUUCCUAUGGUAACCGUACGAGCCCUAGAGAGAAUCGAGGCAUUAUCGGAUCAUGCGCCAAUCAUUCUUGAUUCUAAUUCUACGAGCCAUUCUUCCCGCCACCCUUUCAAAUUUGAAUUGGCAUGGCUGCACCGGGAAGGUUUUGUAGAAAUAAUCAAGAAAGUUUGGGAGAGGCCAGCCAUUGGUCGUACACCGAUUCAGAGAUGGAAUUAUAAAAUAAGGGCCAUGAGGCAACACCUCUCUGGAUGGGCGAAACACAUCAAUGGGUUAUAUAAAAAAGAAAAGCAGCGCCUUUGUACCAUCAUUGAUGACCUCGACAAAAUUGCAGCACCUUAUCUCAACAUGAGAUUGAAUUGA
rnacentral:rRNA from 1 species